rnacentral:lncRNA from 1 species
UCCGAUCUGCAGUAUCUAGACUUAUACAAUGACUUGGAUCCCAAUUUUGUGGUUCGGGUCCGUGAAUUUAGCAUUGGUGAUGCACUCUGGAUUUCUCACCUUUCUUCUCUAAAGCAUCUCAACCUGAAGAGUGUUAACUUUCAAAAUGGUACUCACUGGCUGGAAGCUCUGAACAUGCUUCCUUCUAUCGUGGAGAUAUACUUAUCUCUCUGUGAAAUUCCAAGUGUUCCCCUCUCUCUUCCGCAUGUGAACUUUACAUCACUAUCUGUUCUUGAUUUGUCCUAUAAUUUCAUUAGCUCUACGAUACCCUCUUGGUUAUUCAACAUAAGUGGCCUUGAGCAUCUUGAUCUCAGUGAUAACUUAUUUCAGGGUAAUAUUCCACCAGCCUUUGGUAACUUGGCUUCCCUCAAGGGCCUUAAUUUAGCUAACAAUUUUCGUCUUCAAGGAGGAAUACCCACUUCCUUCAAAAAUCUGUGCAAGUUGCAGAAUUUAAUAUUGUCAGGCAUCAAUAUCAGCAAAGAUUUGUUAGAACUCGAUGAAAUUUUCUCUGGUUGCAUCAAGAUGAGCCUAGAGGUUCUAAGCUUAGCUAGAACGAAUAUUAGUGGGCAGUUGCCUGAAUGGUUAUUCCAACUAGCGUCACUCCAAGAGCUCUAUCUUCAUCGAAAUCAACUGAAUGGAACUAUACCAGAAAGCUUGGGACAGCUGUCUCAGCUAGUUGUUUUGGACCUUUGGUACAACCAUUUGGAGGGUGUAAUGUCUGAGGCGCAUUUUGGAAACCUCACAGAAUUGAAAUACUUAACUUUGUCGUCCAACUCCUUGGCUCUGAAGGUCAAGAGCAAUUGGCUUCCUCCCUUCCGGCUAGAAUCCCUUUGGAUGGGCUCCUGCAAACUGGGUCCCGAGUUCCCUGCAUGGCUCCAGUCGCAAAUAAAUAUUUCAGAAAUUGUUAUGUCUAAUGCUAGUAUUAUUGAUGCUAUGCCAAACUGGUUUUGGAGCUUAAUUUCCACGGCAGUGUACGUGAGUGUCUCCGGCAAUCAGAUCAGUGGCCACGUACCCAAUUUGUUGCAUUUAAACAACCUCUACGGGUUGGAUUUAAGUUCAAACUACUUCGAGGGUCCUCUUCCAUAUUUUCCUCCUGGAUUGUCUUUAUUAGAUCUGUCAAACAAUUCAUUUUCAGGAACAAUUUCACUUGCCAUCAUCAUGAAUAUGCCUAACCUCGUAUAUUUAUCGCUUUCGGAAAACAAUUUAAGCGGUGAAAUUCCCUUCUCUAUAUGCCAACUGCAGGUCUUGUGGAUUCUUGAUCUUUCAAAAAAUAUGUUGUCAGGAGAGCUCCCCAAUUGCUGGAAUAAUUCUUCCCCAAUUGAAGUUAUGGAUUUUUCAAGAAACAACAUAUCUGGAGUUAUUCCUGAGUCGAUAUGUUCCUUAGUAUCGCUUCAGUCGUUGCACUUGAGCAAUAACAGUCUAUCUGGAGAGCUGCCUUUGUCCUUGAAGGAUUGUGGGAAAUUAAUCCUUCUUGAUGCCGGACAUAAUGAUUUGAAAGGUGAAAUUCAAACCUGGAUAGGUGAAAGUUUAACUAGUCUGCGGUUCCUCAAUCUGCGAUCAAAUAUGUUGGCCGGAGAUGUUCCUCCAAAUCUUUCAAGAUUGAGUGCUCUCCAAUUUCUCGACCUUGCAGAUAAUGAGCUAUCGGGAACUAUUCCAAGGAGCUUUGGAAAUUUUACUGCCAUGAAAGUAAUUGAAAAUUUUUCGAGUUGGAGGACAGGUCAAAUUAGAUAUAAGGAGCAGAUGUUUAUAACAACUAAAGGAAACACUCGAGCGUAUGAUGUGUCGCUUUCGCUUAUCAAUAUCUUGGACCUCUCGGACAAUAACUUAUUUGGAGGAGUACCUGAAGAACUCACAAGUCUUUUUGGCUUAUUCAGCUUAAAUUUAUCUGGAAACCAUUUCACAGGAGAAAUCAUUGAAAAUAUCAGUAAAUUACAACAGUUGGAGUCCCUUGACUUGUCAAGGAACAACUUUUCUGGCACAAUUCCUUCGAGCCUCGCUGCCCUGACUUCUUUGGCUCACUUGAACCUCUCAUACAACAACUUGUCAGGGGAAAUUCCUCUUGGUAAUCAACUUCUGACCUUCAAUGAUCCAUCUAUCUAUAUUGGCAAUCCUGGUCUUUGUGGGUUUCCUCUGAAUCAAAGUUGCAAAGACAAUGAGACAGCACAAGGUCGAAGUAAUGCAGAUGACAGAGAUGACAACGAGAUGAUAUGGUUCUACAUGAGCAUGGCACCAGGAUUUGUUGUUGGUUUCUGGGCAGUCUGGGGUACAUUGAUACUAAACAAGAAUUGGAACCUUUACUACUUCAGAUUUAUAGACAAUAUACUUGACAAAGUGUAUGUGUUCACCGUACUGAAAGUUUCUAGGAUCAGAAAACGUUGUUGUUUCCAACAAGGAUGAUAAAUUUGAACAUCAAUAUAUGCUGUAUGAGAGUUCAUCUCGUUAAUAUCAUAUCAUCAGCUUGAAUAAAAUUUAAUACUUCUGGACUUGUAUACAAGUAAGUCAUGCACUCUCAAUUUUGAUCAUUUCUGUCAAGUUCGCAGUACCAUAUGAAGUGUUCUAAUUCUGGGGACUGCCAAAAAGCUUGCACCUUUUAAUUAGUUUUUCCAAAAUAGACACCCCUUUUUUAGUUGUUCAGUUUGGCAGAAAUGAAAGGAGGUUAAAACUUUUACGAAGAUAUAGAUAGAAUUUCUGCAGCUGCGACAGAUGGAGCUGUUUAAUAUGAUCUACUCAUGUAAUGAUCCUCUUGUGUUUGAGAUGCUUGUCUUCAUCAAUCAAAUACAUAUUGGAUGCAUCAUAAGCUCAAGUCCACCAAAUGUGCAGCUGCUUGAUCAUCUUGGAUCUCAUGCUCAGAUCUUUUCACUUGAUGAGUCUCCCAUUAAUGGGGGACAUGCUGCUGCAGAUGAUGGAAUUGGGCCGAAGAGGCUUUCACACGCAUGUCAAUGUGACAAGGAUGAUCUGUGCAUGCAGGAAUAAUCCAUUUAUGAUAUACAGAGUGUGGCCCCUCUCUGAGCCGCUCACAUUGAAUUUUGCCAUGGAUUCUGUGUUAUGACUCGGGAUGUAGACGAGCUUCAUUUGAUUACCUGUUGCCAUUAGCACUCAAACGUAAGCAAAGUUCAUAGGAAUGUAAUUCUUGGUUCAAACUGUUUUGUAGACGCAAAACAAAGAAGAGGUGUUACAUCAACAUUUUCUUAUGGAUCUAAUUAUCACCCUCCAUAAAUAAGAGUGAUUAAGAUCAGGAGUGAAUCGAGAUUAAUAAUUUUUCUAGUAUCCAAUAAAUAAAAAAUUAUGUAUUUUUAUUUAAUUAUAGACAUUAUCUUGUACAAAACUCGAGAAUUGAUUUUAAAUAAUUGUUAUUAUUUUUGUAAAUAAAAAGAUCUAUUGCUCAAAAGAUAAUGUGUUAUUUAUAGAAAUGUAAGUUUGACUAGAAAUCCCACCACGAGAGAUUUCUUGAAAUAUAUUAAAAAUUAAUUAUUUUGAUCAUCUUGGCUAAACAAAAAAAUGUUGGUAAAAGGAAAACUUAGGUACUAAGAUAUCAAGUUGGUAUCAUCAGCAAGAAUUGUAUAAAUUAGAGAGUCCAAUUGAUAUAGAUGAGAAGGUAUGACAUGAGAAGAUUAUUAAUAUGGUUUAAUUGUUAAUAAUUCAUAAAUACUAGGUCGUAUUUAAUAUUAUUUCUUAAUUUAUAAAUGUCAUCGGCUCAUGUUAAUCUUUUCUGUAUCGUUCUAAUUUUAUUGGAUGUUUCUAGGUUAUGCUGGGCUUUGACGAAGAUAUCAAGUGAAAAAGUUUAUAAUAUCUUGAUUUAUAGAGUAGACAUAAUUAAGAUUGAUUUAUAAAGAUAUGAUGGACUUACUAUUAUUAAUUUUAACUUAAACACUUUAAUCAAUGGUUUAAGUUUUAAUAGCUCAUUAGUUUGUUAAGAGUAUCGACACAAUGACAGGGAGAUACAUGAUUAAGCUAGUCUCACACAAUGAUAGAGUGAUGCAUGGUUAAUCCCUUUAUGCAAGAUUUACUUUUUUAACAUGAGAUGAUCAUUGUUUUCUUUGUUUUUCAUGAGUAAAGUUAGCAUGUUCUCGAAGAUAAAAGAAAAAAAAAUUGACACGACAAGAGAGGAAUGGUAGCAACAGAUUCUGAACACAAACUAAGAUUCAAAGAUGAUGCAACCUUGCUGUUGCAAAAGUAGAUGAGUAACUUGGCUCUGAUAGCUGGAAUUGAAGGUCUUCCUUCCUCUUGUUCUGCUCAGUUGCAUUAUCAUGUCAAUUUCCAGGAGAGUUUCCCAGCGACUGCUGAUCGCUGUCUUCUUGGUGACCACAAAUCUUGUCUUUCUUUUAUUCGUGUUAAUAAUGGUUGUCUGAUAGCUACAAAUUUCUCCUAUUUAGCAGUUCUUAGGAAAUUCUCAAAACCUUCACAUUCAAGAAGAUGCUGGAGUCUUUAGAUGAAAGCUAUUCCAACUUUGGGACUCGUCAAAAUCAGAAGUCAUAGUUGACUGACUUGAGGAUAGACAACAAUAUGAAAUGAAGAACAAGUGCAUGAUAUUGGCAGACAGCCUAAUUGUUGAAGGUUUCUUGGUCUACUCUUUGAAUCCGUCAGUUGAGUAGUUUCAGACUAACGGAGGAUGAUCCAAACAGGGCAUGAUAAUAAUAUUUUGUGUAUUGCAAGCUGUCCACCGCAGAUUUCUCAUGAUUAAUCUUAAGAUAAGCUGCGUAUUUUUAUUAUCUGUAAUCUAAGAUAAUUGUGUUGGUGUGAGAUGAUCCACUUUGAUCAAGUACACAAUUUCCCUCCCAAUCGAUGGAAUCAUGGUUGUGGUAAUAAUUGUUUUCAGGUGUAUGCAAAAAGGCAAAUCUACCUGUUCUGUGAAAUUUCUUGCCAGUUUCUAUGCACUACCGGUGCCAGAAAUAUGAAAAUCUAAUUAAAUACCUUGACGAAUUAAGCUGCCAUUAUGGUUGUUUUUCUAGUUUCUUGGACUCGUUUUAGACAUUACAAGUGUAUGACACUGGAUUUGCUCAGUAGAACAUCAUGGACGACCUUCUAUCAUUGUCAACCUAGAACAUCGNNNNNNNNNNNNNNNNNNNNNNNNNNNNNNNNNNNNNNNNNNNNNNNNNNNNNNNNNNNNNNNNNNNNNNNNNNNNNNNNNNNNNNNNNNNNNNNNNNNNNNNNNNNNNNNNNNNNNNNNNNNNNNNNNNNNNNNNNNNNNNNNNNNNNNNNNNNNNNNNNNNNNNNNNNNNNNNNNNNNNNNGUGCAGCAAUCAUACUGGGCAUGUCGUCAAGCUGGACCUCCAGAAUCCGCAUCCUUUCUCGGAUUUUGGUGACGAGCCAUACAACAACUGGACCUUAGGAGGUGAGUUGAGGCCUUCUUUACUUGGUCUGAAACACCUGAAGUACCUGGACCUAAGCAUGAACGAUUUUGGAGGCAUUAAUAUUCCAGAAUUCAUGGGGUCAUUCCAUCAACUCCAAUAUCUUAACCUCUCCAGAGCUGGAUUGGGUGGACUCCUGCCUCACCAGCUGGGAAAUCUCUCCAAUCUGCAGUAUCUAGACUUAUCCAAUGACUUGGAUCCCAAUUUUGUGGUUCCGGUCCGUGAAUUUAGCAUUGGUGAUGCACUCUGGAUUUCUCACCUUUCUUCUCUAAAGCAUCUCAACCUGAAGAGUGUUAACUUUCAAAAUGGUACGCACUGGCUGGAAGCUCUGAACAUGCUUCCUUCUAUUCUGGAGAUAUACUUAUCUCUCUGCGAAAUUGGAAGUGUUCCCC